GGAUGUGAGGGUGAUCUGGCUGCGACAUCUGUCACCCCAUUGAUCGGCAGGGUUGAGUCAGCUGAUCUGGCUGGCCAGGCGGGUGUCCCCUUCCUCCCUCACCACUCCAUGUGUGUCCCACCUGAAGCUGUGCGCUCGGUCAAAGAGCACAACCAUCCCGGAUAGAGGAGGACCGUUCUUCGGUCAAGGGUAUGCGAGUAGCUGCGCUCCCCUGCUAGAACCUCCAAACAAGCUCUCAAGGUAGAGACAUCAGAGUAAGAGCAUAUUUCUCAAUAGAAAUCAUAAAAGCAAGGAGGGGAUGGAAUGACGCACUU
ensembl:misc_RNA 7SK 7SK RNA